rnacentral:rRNA from 1 species
UGCCAUUUGCCACGUUCAAUACACCAGUUCUCGUCCGAUCACUGAAGUUAAGUGACGUUGGGCGUGGUCAGUACUUGGAUGGGUGACCGUCAGGGAGACCACGUGUUUAUGGUUU